UAUACCUCUAGGAAAAGGUCGCCCCUGAUGAGAUGAGCGAUCCGUGGAUUGCCUAGUGACGUCGAGACCUAUAGGUUACCUCAUCGAGGAACGCUGAGCUUCCUUUUGAGUGACGGCAGGUAUACCGUAUCACUUCCAAACUAGGAUACUGCGAAAGCAGACUAUCCUUGUAUCCUUGACGCAUCAGAUUAGAUAAAGAUUAUUCGUUAUGGAUGGGGAUGCGUCUGAUAGCUUGUGCGGGGUAACACCCACCAAGCAACGAUCAGUAGGGGUUUGAGAGGAGGUCCCCACAUGGAACUGAGACACGGUCCAAAUCCUACGGGAGGCAGCAGUGAGGAAUAUGGUCAAUGGGCGAGAGCCUGAACCAGCCAAGUAGCGUGCAGGAAGACGGCCCUAUGGGUUGUAAACUGCUUUUGUAUGGGGAUAAAGUCAAUCACGUGUGAUUGUUUGCAGGUACCAUACGAAUAAGGACCGGCUAAUUCCGUGCCAGCAGCCGCGGUAAUACGGAAGGUUCGGGCGUUAUCCGGAUUUAUUGGGUUUAAAGGGAGCGUAGGCCGGAGAUUAAGUGUGUUGUGAAAUGUAGACGCUCAACGUCUGACUUGCAGCGCAUACUGGUUUCCUUGAGUACGCACAACGUUGGCGGAAUUCGUCGUGUAGCGGUGAAAUGCUUAGAUAUGACGAAGAACUCCGAUUGCGAAGGCAGCUGACGGGAGCGCCACUGACGCUUAAGCUCGAAGGUGCGGGUAUCGAACAGG
rnacentral:rRNA from 1 species